rnacentral:misc_RNA from 1 species
AAGUCGUAACAAGGUUUCCGUAGGUGAACCUGCGGAAGGAUCAUUACCAAUUCGAAUUGGUGUGCGUUGUGUGUGUGUUCCACACACCACCAAACGCACGCCAAACUCUACCAACCUUUGAUUGUGAACCAUGAGAUUCAAACACAUAGUCUUCCCGUUUUUUGCUUUGCGAAAAGCGGGGAGCAAUUUUAUCCAACCCCAAUUUCACUCUUCACACCACCACCACGCGUGUGUGUGUGUGGGGAACAAAAGCAAGCGUUGAGCUCCGAAAGGAAAAAACAGAAUGUCAUGUACAACUUUUAACGGCGGAUCUCUUGGCUCGU